rnacentral:rRNA from 1 species
CCUACGGGAGGCAGCAGUGGGGAAUAUUGGGCAAUGGAGGAAACUCUGACCCAGCGACGCCGCGUGCGGGAUGAAGGCCUUCGGGUUGUAAACCGCUUUCAGUAGGGAAGAAGCGAAAGUGACGGUACCUACAGAAGAAGCACCGGCUAACUAUGUGCCAGCAGCCGCGGUAAUACAUAGGGUGCAAGCGUUGUCCGGAAUUAUUGGGCGUAAAGAGCUCGUAGGUGGUUCGUCACGUCGGAUGUGAAAAUCUGGGGCUCAACCCCAGACCUGCAUUCGAUACGGGCGAUCUAGAGUGUGGUAGGGGAGACUGGAAUUCCUGGUGUAGCGGUGGAAUGCGCAGAUAUCAGGAGGAACACCAAUGGCGAAGGCAGGUCUCUGGGCCAUUACUGACACUGAGGAGCGAAAGCGUGGGGAGCGAACAGGAUUAGAUACCCUGGUAGUCCACGCCGUAAACGGUGGGCACUAGUUGUGGGAACCUUCCACGGUUUCUGCGACGCAGCUAACGCAUUAAGUGCCCCGCCUGGGGAGUACGNUCGCAAGAUUAAACCUCAAAGUAGUAGUACGGCGUGAGAGAGCGACGACGACGACGACGGAGGAGG